UACGGAGGAGGCAAGCGUUAUCCGAAAUUAUUGGGCGUAAAGCGUCCGCAGGUGGCACUUCAAGUCUGUCGUCAAAGACUGGGGCUUAACCCUGGAAAGGCGGUGGAAACUGAAGCGCUAGAGUGCGGUAGGGGUAGAGGGAAUUCCCGGUGUAGCGGUGAAAUGCGUAGAGAUCGGGGAGAACAUCGGUGGCGAAAGCGCUCUACUGGACCGCAACUGACACUCAGGGACGAAAGCUAGGGGAGCGAAUGGG
rnacentral:rRNA from 1 species